rnacentral:sRNA from 1 species
ACUGGGCAUGGUGGUGCGCGUCUGUAAUCCCAGCUACUCGAGAGGCUGAGGCAGGAGGAUUGCAAGUUGGAGGCCAGCCUGGGCAACUUAGCAAGACCCUGUCUCAA